CCUACGGGGGGCUGCAGUAGGGAAUAUUGGGCAAUGGACGCAAGUCUGACCCAGCCACGCCGCGUGAAUGAUGACUGCCCUAUGGGUUGUAAACUUCUUUUGUAUGGGACGAAACCUCCGAACGUGUUCGGAGCUGACGGUACCAUAAGAAUAAGCAUCGGCUAACUCCGUGCCAGCAGCCGCGGUAAUACGGAGGAUGCAAGCGUUGGUCGGAUUCAUUGGGGUUAAGGCGGAGAAUUACGGAGGGGGUGAAAGCUGGCAGCUUAACUGUGAAAAUGCCAUUGAAACUGAUUUUCUUGAGUUCGAUUGAGGUAGAUGGAAUGUAUCAUGUAGCGGUGAAAUGCUUAGAUAUGAUACAGAACACCAAUUGCGAAGGCAGUCUACUAAGUCGAUACUGACGCUGAGGCACGAAAGCAUGGGGAGCAAACAGGAUUAGAUACCCCGGUAGUC
rnacentral:rRNA from 1 species